GAAAGCUUCAAGGACUUGGUCUUGGAUCUCAGAGCUGGUACUACUAUGAUGUUACCAGUCACUAGACUUCACAGAUGCCUGAAAAUGGGAAGUCACUCGAGUGUGAACCAGUUUAGCAGCAGCCUUGGCAAUUAAAGCUCCGUCUCCACCACUAUUACCCCAACCUUGGACAGUAGAACUACUGCCAGAGCGUUCCUUAAUCUGAGUGGAAGAAUCAGUUGGCAAAUUGAGGAGAAGUAUUGAAGCUCCAAUUGGCAGACCCUGGAGAUUUACAUGAUGCAAAUAUAAAGAAACUGAAAAUUGAAGGAAACAAGGCAAACAUUGUAAUGGAAUAACAAGGAGGGGCAGUGGAUCAGAAAAGACAUUAAUCCGAGCUCCAGAAGAUACAGCAGAAGUGAACAAGAGAAAGAGGGCCUCUCUGAGGUUCCUAGAUGAAAAUUGAAGCCCACUGGAAAAGUGACAACAAUCUCUGCAAUAAAGGCACACCGGACCACCGUUCUUGAUUUCCACUCGGGCAAGUUGGACUAUCUCUCCUGUUUCUACUUUAAAAGUUCAGCACCCUGCUGGAACCCGGUCCUGUGGACACCAGCAGCUCGCGCCCUGCCUGACCUCGCCGCACAUACGUACAGGAUCAUGCCGCACGGAUGCCGCGAGGCAUCUGAAUCCACACAGCAGAGGCGCCAGGGGGAACAUAAAAGCCAUGAAGAAGUGAAUGACAGAGAGGGCCUUUCUGACGCGCCUCAAGGAAAAUUGAAGCCCACUGGGAAAGUGAAGAAAACUCUUCAAUAAAGCACACCAGACCAUCGUGGUUGUAUGAAGGACUUCAUUGUUGGAUGGAAUGGAAUUUGUUUCACAUGAAAAGUCCAGAAACCUUCUCUCCUACUUCUCCAUCUUCAGAAUCUUCAGAGCUUCUCAAGGACACUUCUGGAUAAGAGAACAAAAUCUUUCUCUUGAAGGUCUGCAUCCUUUACCAAAGUGCAAAAUGAUCAAUUCAAGCAAUAUCUUCCACUACUCUUUCCUCUCUAAGAGGUUUCCUAUGCACUUCACUCACUGCUUCUUGAGCAGCACACUGCACUGUUUUUGCCAGAACCCUCUACAGGGAAUCCCAAAGAGGACGUCACUUUCUUCUGGAAGCCACUGGACCUUGAUUCUGUGCUCCAGCCCUUCAGGAGGCCUGGCAAGAUUCUGAAGUGUGGGAAUGUAGAAGCGAGUAGCUCAUGGAAG
ensembl:lncRNA